rnacentral:rRNA from 1 species
GUCCACGCUGUAAACUAUGUGUGCUAGACGUUGGCGAGCUUGCUCGUCAGUGUCGCAGCUAACGCGUUAAGCACACCGCCUGGGGAGUACGGCCGCAAGGUUAAAACUCAAAGGAAUUGACGGGGGCCCCGCACAAGCGGUGGAGCAUGUGGUUCAAUUCGACGCAACGAGAAGAACCUUACCAGCCCUUGACAUGGGAAGUUUGGAUUCCGGAGACGGGAUCCUUCAGUUCGGCUGGCUUCCACACAGGUGCUGCAUGGCUGUCGU